rnacentral:lncRNA from 1 species
AUUGGGGCAGGAUCUUGACCUUCUGUUUCCAAGUUAGGGGAGCUGGGGCUUCAGGAAGGUUCGGGAGAAUGCCAAACCUAACAGGAUCUGGGGUGCAGAAGUAAAGCCAAGAAGGGAAAACUGUAUGGGAUGAGAGCAAUGUGAAAAUGUGUCUGUUCCCUGGAACGUCUCAAGGAAUCGUGAGCUCCAAGGAUAGGGGCUGCUGGCUCCUAAACAUGUUUAUUUUUUUAGACUUAACACCACUCCUCACACGAAUCAUGCCAGAGGGAAGGGGGACAGGGUGGAAGAAGAGAGACAAGGGUAAGGGGUGUUGUUGGUUCCCUAGCUUCCCCUCAAAAUUAAUUGGUUGCCUAAUUAAGACAUGGCAUUAUUCUAACUGAAAUCCAGUUUUCCCAGGGGCAGUGUAGGCACGUUUCUGUCCAAGGCUUCUGGAAGCCUGGACCUCAAGUUUUGGUGUCUCCACUGCUCCAGCCUCUUCAUUCUUGGAUGAGCAGCUGGUUGAGGGUUAAGGAACCAUGUGGAAUCUGAUGGACAGACCUGUAUUCAAAUCCUGCCUCCCACCACUUUACCCACGGUGCUUCAGGCUGAAAAGCUUCUCUGUUCUCAUGUCCUCAUUCUGUCCUUCACUGUCCAAGACCACCACAACCAGAGAGCUUCAGGUAUGGCAGACACCUUGGCCAAUCACCACCAGAGGGGGAAGGAUUAUACACAUGCCCAGACCUCACCUGAUCAAAGAGUUGCUCCUCUCCUUAAAUUCCACAGUAAGCAACACUUGGUUUGGAGAAGGGUGACACAGGGCUGGCCUGAUAAGAGGUCAGCCUACCCUGACAGUAAGCAUGCUGUGCCGUCUGCCAAGAACCCAGGCCCUUGGCCUCAGUCACAGUUGGAGAAACGGCUCUGGCGCAGGCUUAGGCCAUGCCCAAGAUCACCCUCAUGACACAGAAACUGACAUGCUGUGGGGACAAAGACUUCAGACCCUUCUCCUUUAAUGGCUCACAAGUCCUCAGAAACAGUGUGAUCAGGGCUGGCUUUUUGUCCACCAAGGGGCACCCGUGCACUGCAGGGAAGGUCGUACAGGAGCUGCCAGCGUGGCUCUAUCCAGGGUGAAGAGCAAAGGCUUGGGGAGGAGCUGCUUUAAGAUGCCAUGGCAAGUGCCUUUCACAUUCCAGAACACAGAGGACCGUGGGCCCCUGCUUGUCCAGAGGCAUCUGGGGCUGGCAGCCAGCCCAGGCGUUUCCUGUCCUUUCCAUUCAAAAUGUCGUUAUUCUGUUUCUGCAUGUCUCCUUGGUGGAAGACUGUGCUGGGACAGGGAAAACUGGGGAACUUCCUGAUUAACUCAAUGCCCCUGGGAAAC